rnacentral:lncRNA from 1 species
CCAAUAUGUAAUAUUCACAAUGUGAGAUAUUUUUAAUUUUAUUUAUUUUCUAUACAGUAUUUAUUCUACAAGGUCUCCUUGUUCCCUUGUGUACAUGAAGAUGCCCAUUCUCAAUUGCUUUAGACAUCAAUUUUCUCCUUGGAGUGCUGGUGUGAUAGCAAAGCCUCUCAAUAAAAUGCAUUAAAAGUACCUCCAAGUAGCAACAAUAGAAGAGGAGGCUUCCUCUUGCUCCAAAGCACUUUCCUACUGCGUUUUCAAGCUCACAUUCAAAGAGCAAGAGCGAGACUCAGUGACAUUUGCUCUGCAUCCUGUAGGUCAACCUAUAUCUGGAGAAGUCCUAGUGAUCUUCUCAUUCACAUAAAUGAGACUCUUAUUAACUGGUCAUGACCUGCUCUCAGCAUCUGCAAGCUUCGCAGCUCCGCAGCAGUUUUUCUGGUAUCAAGGGAAGACAUUAUGUGCUGGCAAGCUUUACCACCAUCUACACAAUGGGUGACUGUAUCUCCUAGCCCGUGGGGCAUCCCCGAAGUCUACAUUCGCAGACUUAGAACUAAUUUCAAAUCAAGAGCUAAAGAAGAAAAUAAGACUCCCCAUGGUCUUCCUCCCCACCUUCCUUGGCUUCAGCCCCAGAAUUCCAUUCCUGGGAAUGGAUCCCAGUGGCCCCAAGGUAAGGACUAUCUGUGGGCAACACA